UACGAAGGGGGCUAGCGUUGCUCGGAAUCACUGGGCGUAAAGGGUGCGCAGGCGGCCGCGCGCGUGGGUGGUGAAAUCUCCCGGCUCAACUGGGAGGGGGCCAUCCAGACGGCGGUGGCUUGAGGCUCGGAGGGGGCGUGGAAUUCCGGGUGGAGCGGUGAAAUGCGUAGAGAUCCGGAGGAACACCGACGGCGGAAGGC
rnacentral:rRNA from 1 species